AACGCGAAGAACCUUACCUGGGUUUGACAUCCCGCGAAUCUCCAGGAAACUGGGGAGUGCCCUUCGGGGAGCGCGGAGACAGGUGCUGCAUGGCUGUCGUCAGCUCGUGCCGUGAGGUGUUGGGUUAAGUCCCGCAACGAGCGCAACCCUUGUUGCCAGUUGCCACCAGGUAAUGCUGGGCACUCUGGCGAGACUGCCCGGGUCAACCGGGAGGAAGGUGGGGACGACGUCAAGUCAUCAUGGCCCUUACAUCCAGGGCUACACACGUACUACAAUGGCAGAUACAAAGGGUUGCCAAGCCGCGAGGCUGCGCCAAUCCCAGAAAGUCUGUCUCAGUCCGGAUUGCAGUCUGCAACUCGACUGCAUGAAGCUGGAAUCGCUAGUAAUCCCGGAUCAGCAUGCCGGGGUGAAUACGUUCCCGGGUCUUGUACACACCG
rnacentral:rRNA from 1 species